AGUGUUGUGAUGACACCAAGAGCUCUUGUGUUCUGAAGCCAAGUUGACUCCUGUGCAGCUGUGAAUAUGCCUGAGGAGGCUACGGCCUUGGUCUCUUGAAGCCUGUGCUACGGGAGCCCGAGGACACCAGCACCCAACUCUCUACAGACCUAUAUGAACACUGACAUGCACAGCCGGCACUUUCAGAACCAACUAGAGCAAAAUCUCAUAAGUCUAGGGAAACCUUGUGUGAGUCUGUGUAAUGGGGACACACACAAUGGGGCAGAGUCAGAAUGUUCUUCCCAUAAGAUGGCCUUCCAGGAAGAAUUGUAUGAACUAUAAAUGAAGGCAUUGAAAGCAAGGGCAUGCAGGAAAUAUGAUGGUGUGAAAAAGUCCAGCAUGAACUCAGACAGGCCACAGACCAGGACCAGAGCCUCCUGUAGAUCAAGCUGCUGCAGAAGGAGCAAUGAGCAUGCCUGCUCCCUUGAGAGACCUGAGGAGGAUGAAGGAAAAUACGGACAACUCGAAUCCAUGACUAUGUUCAGUCUAGGAUCAAGGCCUCCUCACAAAAGCCAUCUCCUUGUAUCUGAGAACUCAACAGACCGUCUGGAAUCAGUUGCGGCAUCACAAUCCUGUAACACCAGAACUCCCAGGCAGAGAUGGAUGUCUGCAAGUGCCAGGUGGCUUGGUCUACACAGGUUGACAGAGAGAACAAACUUCCCACAAGUUUGUCCUCUGUUCUUCAUGUGGAUGGGGCCACCAGGUCUUUGUCACAGAAACGGAGCAUCGGGAAUUACAUAGCAUUCCUUAUAUGAACUGGAAUGUCUCCGUCUGAUGCCCUCAGGAAGUUACAUCACAGUGUGUUCCAACUUUUAGUAAAAUUGCCUUGUAGAGAAGUUAUAG
ensembl:lincRNA 4933413J09Rik RIKEN cDNA 4933413J09 gene